rnacentral:rRNA from 1 species
GACGUAGGGCGCGAGCGUUGUCCGGAUUUAUUGGGCGUAAAGAGCUCGUAGGCGGCUUGUCGCGUCGACUGUGAAAACCCGCAGCUCAACUGUGGGCUUGCAGCCGAUACGGGCAGGCUAGAGUUCGGUAGGGGAGACUGGAAUUCCUGGUGUAGCGGUGAAAUGCGCAGAUAUCAGGAAGAACACCCGUGGCGAAGGCGGCUCUCUGGGACGGUACUGACGCUGAGACGCGAAAGCGUGGGGAGCGAACAGG